rnacentral:rRNA from 1 species
AACAGGGGGGCAAGCGUUAUUCAUCAUGACUAAGCGUACAGGGUUUCGUAGACAAAUGUUUGAAUUACACUAAAAUCCUGUGCAAAAACAUAGGGCGUGUGUAAAAUUAAUCAUAUUGGAUUGUUUUUGUGUUAUAGGAAUGUCUAGUGUAGUGCUAAAAUACUUCGAUAUUAGACGGAACGCCGAAAGUGAAGACGUAUAACGAGAAACAAUUGACGUUGAGGUACGAAAGUAUGGGGAGCAAACUGG